rnacentral:lncRNA from 1 species
UGUGUGCGUCAUGCAAUCAAGUUGUGAUACCUGGGAGUGGUUACUAUGAAAGAAGUACAACCAGAGUACGACUACGGCAGUCCCCCCAAAGAUACCCCCCAACCACGUCUUCCAGGUCUGUCUGUGAGGGAUUGAGAGAGUUUGUUUUUUAGCUACACAUUCAGUCAACAUUGACAUGUGUGACUUUGUGAGAGCGCUUAAAUGAAUAUUUUGUUUGUGUGUGUUAGAUGGAGCUGUUUGAGUUACAAGGGAGGAUGGAGGAAUCAUCUGUCGCGUCAUCACUAAGGGACUGGGAUACGCCGAGCCUAAUGAAGGAGCUGCCGUAAAAGUUGUGCAGCCCCGGCAUUGUGAAGGACUGGUAUAUAGGUAUGGCAACUGCUCGGCCUCCGACUGCAAGGCACUACAGAGGGUAGUGCGUACGGCCCAGUACAUCACUGGGGCCAAGCUUCCUGUCAUCCAGGACCUCUGUACCAGGCGGUGUCAGAGGAAAGCCCUAAAAAUGGUCAAAGACUCCAGCCACCCUAGUCAUAGACUGUUCUCUAUGCUACCGCACAGCAAGCAGUACCAGAGAUCAAAGUCUAGGUCCAAGAGGCUUCUAAACAGCUUCUACC